rnacentral:rRNA from 1 species
AUUGAACGCUGGCGGCAGGCCUAACACAUGCAAGUCGAACGAGAGGCGGACGGGCGAGUAAUGGCUGGGAAACUGCCUGAUGGAGGGGGAUAACUACUGGAAACGGUAGCUACUACCGCAUACCACCCGUUGUGCCAAGAUGGGAUUAGCUUGUUGGUGGGGUAACGGCGCACGAAGGCGACGAACCCUAGCUGGUCUGAGAGGAUGAACAGCCACACUGGAACUGAGACACGGUCCAGACUCCUACGGGAGGCAGCAGUGGGGAAUAUUGCACAAUGGGCGCAAGCCUGAUGCAGCCAUGCCGCGUGUAUGAAGAAGGCCUUCGGGUUGUAAAGUACUUGCAGCGGGGAGGCGUUACCCGCAGAAGAAGCACCGGCUAACUCCGUGCCAGCAGCCGCGGUAAUAC